rnacentral:rRNA from 1 species
UUGGAGGGCAAGUCUGGUGCCAGCAGCCGCGGUAAUUCCAGCUCCAAUAGCGUAUAUUAAAGUUGUUGCAGUUAAAAAGCUCGUAGUUGAGUUUCGGGAUCAGAUUGUCGGUCGUGCCUCGGUACGCACUGGCAUUAUUGGUUCCUACCUUCUGAAGAACCGCGAUGUCAUUAAUUUGGUGUCGUGGGGAAUCAGGACUGUUACUUUGAAAAAAUUAGAGUGUUUAAAGCAGGCGCACGCUUGAAUACAUUAGCAUGGAAUAAUGAAAUAGGACGUUUGAUUCUAUUUUGUUGGUUUCUAGGAUCGACGUAAUGAUUAAUAGGGAUAGUUGGGGGCAUUAGUAUUCAAUUGUCAGAGGUGAAAUUCUUGGAUUUAUUGAAGACUAUCUACUGCGAAAGCAUUUGCCAAGGAUGUUUUCAUUAAUCAAGAACGAAAGUUAGGGGAUCGAAGACGAUCAGAUACCGUCGUAGUCUUAACCAUAAACUAUGCCGACUAGGGAUCGGAUGAUGUUAAUUUUUUAAUGACUCAUUCGGCGCCUUACGGGAAAC